rnacentral:rRNA from 1 species
AUUGAACGCUGGCGGCAGGCCUAACACAUGCAAGUCGAACGAGUGGCGGACGGGUGAGUAAUGUCUGGGAAACUGCCCGAUGGAGGGGGAUAACUACUGGAAACGGUAGCUAAUACCGCCUACCAUCGGAUGUGCCCAGAGGGGAUUAGGUAGUGGGUUGGGUAACGGCUCACCUAGGCGACGAUCCCUAGCUGGUCCGAGGGGAUGACCAGCGACACUGGACCUGGGACACGGGCCAGACGCCUACGGGAGGCAGCGGUGGGGAAUAUUGCACAAUGAGCGCAAGCCUGAUGCAGCCAUGCCGCGUGGAUAAAGAAGGCCGUCGGGUUGUAAAGUACGUUCAGCGAGGAGGCGUUACUCGCAGAGGAAGCACCGGCUAACUCCGUGCCAGCCGCCGCGGUAAUUC